rnacentral:lncRNA from 10 species
GUGGGGCGGGAGCCCGCGCCCGGGUGCUGACCUCCUGCCUCAGCGCCCCCUCCCCCACUACCCGCGGCCUAGCGGGGUAGCCUCGGGUGGCCAGGCUUGUUUCCUCCUCGGUGGGUGUAAGGUGCGGCUUCGCUGGUCCUGGCCUGAAUCCAGCGGAAGCGCACGCUGCUGAGCUGUCAGCGGAGGAAAAUGGGGCCUGGACCUGGAGAUAUGAGGGUCUGGAGAGAGGGGCCCCUUCCCUGGUGUCGUGUGGUGCGACCACUGGAGAGGGAGUUUCUCGCCCUCGUCGCGCCUGCCGCGCGGAGAGAUAAGGUCCUAGCACAGUAUCUGGCCAAUAUUAGGUUCUCACAAAUUGAGCAAAUAUGGAGGUGAAUUGAUGUGUAAGUAAGUAUGUGACUUAGGUAAGAUUGAAAUGUGUAUGUUUUAUGGGGUGCCAUGUAUAGGGGAAUAAUCAUAGACAAAAUUAUUGCCUUCAAACCUGAGACAUUAGAAUUAUGUGAGGAAAGACAGACAUAGAACAGCACAGGUUAUUGUCACAGAGAGUAGUCUAGUCCAGUCUGGCCAGAACAUAAGCUACAAGAAGUAGAGCAGGAGAAGAGAAAAUGGGAGGUAAAUUUAUAUUAGAGAACACAUUAUAGAAGGUUUCCAGUGCUGUUAAGUUUGGAAUCAGUGGGGAACCACUGAAAUUUUUUGACUAAUGACUUGAUCAGAAUUAUGUUGUUAGAUAGAAACUCUGUCUUCCAGUGGCUGGCACCGUCCAUGUUAAUAAACAUCAAAUUAAAAUGUCGGGGUUGGAAGGAGAUGUGAUUGGUGAUACAAAACAUUUAUUGAGUAGUUAAAAUGUGUCAGGUACUGCAAUGAGUACAUGUAGUAACUCUUUUAAUCCUUAUAACCCUAUAAAGUCAAUACUAAUAUUAUCACCCUCAGUUUUCAAAUGAAACAACAGAAGCAAAGGACGUCUUAGUCUGUUUUCUGAUGCUAUCACAGAAUACCACAGACUGGGUAAUUUAUAAACAGUAGUUUAUUUGGCUCAGUUCCAGUUGCUUGGAAGUCCAAGAGCAUGGCAUUGGCAUCUGGUGAGAGCCUUGUGCUGCAUCAUCCCACGGCAGAAAGGCAAACAAGCACAUGAGAUGGAGAGAGAAUAGAGGCCAGAAUGUACCCUUUGUUUGUUUGUUUGUUUUGAGGCGGAGUCUCGCUCUGUCGCCCAGACUGGAGUGCAGUAGUGCAAUCUUGGCUCACUGCAAGCUCCUCCUCCCGGGUUCACACCAUUCUCCUGCCUCAGCCUCCCAAGUAGCUAGGACUACAGGUGCCCGCCACCAAGCCUGGCUAAUUUUUUGUAUUUUUAGUAGGGACGGGGUUUCACCGUGUUAGCCAGGAUGGUCUCCAUCUCCUGACCUCAUGAUCCACCUGCCUCGGCCUCCCAAAGUGCUGGGAUUACAGGUGUGAGCCACUGUGCCCGGCCUCAGAAUGUCCCCUUUUAAAUGGGAACCCAUACCUACAUUAGUAGCAUUAAUCCAUUCAUGAGAGCAGAGCCCUCAUGACCUAAUUAACUCUUAAAGGUCCCACUUCUUAAAACUGUCAAAAUGGCAAUUAUUUUCAACAAGAGUUUUGGAGGAGAGAUUCAAACCAUAGCAGGUAAUAUUUACCUAAGGUCACACCUUUAGUAAGUAGCAGAACUGGGAUUUGAACCCAGCUGACUCUGGGUGGCAUAUUAUUCUGUUUACUAGGCACAGCAGGGAGUUUAAGAUCCAAGAUUGAAGUUAGAGAAAAAAGAUUAGGAAAAGCAGAUUUGAGAGUCACCUUUGAGGUGAUGUUUGAAUCAGCCACGAAGGUAGCUGAGGUUUGUAAAAGAGGGGGUAUAAAAACAAUUUAGGGUGAAGGAUUGAGCUUUGGGUUACAUCUUCAUACAGGAAGCAAGAAUAGGAAGUGGAACCAAUGGAAGAUCUCAAGGAGAAGCAGAGCAACAUAAUGUGAGGAAGCUAG